UGGCUCAGAUGGUAAAGAAUCUGCCUGCAAUGCAGAAGACCCAGGUUUGAUCCCUGG
rfam:Ovis aries breed Texel chromosome 2, whole genome shotgun sequence.